rnacentral:lncRNA from 1 species
UCUGAAAAUUUCAAGUAAAAUAUGCAUAAAUGUUGUCAAAAACCCAUGUUUUGCCAAGGGAAAUUUGGCAACUCUCGAAUGUUCCUACGGCGUUCUUCCUUAGCAGGGCAGAAUAUUACCAGUUCCAUAAUCCAGAGGUUUAGAAUGUUUGUGACGUUUAAAGCAAACCUGACCGGUGGUACCUCUUCCAUCGAGCUGUGCACUACCUCAAACCAACGCAAGAUGCCAGGCAGUGGAGAAGCAAUUGAUAAAAUUGCACCAAAGACUAUGAAUUUACAUCAACGUCUGCUGUCUCUAAUUAGAGAGAUGCUCGAUACCCACUCUCGCGUUUAUUAUAAAUUCUGUAUUGUGGGUAAAUAAAUAAACAUAUAUCUGCAAAAUGGCAAGUGAUUUUUUUACCAAAUUUCAUCAUCCUUCUUGUUCUCUAAGACAUUUAAUGAAACAAACCCAAGUAGCAUUUUUCAACGAAAAAAUCGCGAUAUUUUGAAAUUAAGUUGCAAUUUUUUUAUGAUUUUUGGAGGUAAAAUCGCUAGGAUCAUCAACAUCUAAGCGAUUAUCUUUGAUCUUGUCGAAAUUUACCUCCAUAAAAUUGCGUUCUAUAAAAUCGAAAUUUUAUCUGAUUAUACUUCGAUUUAUUGUUUGAUAAUAUUGCGAUAAAUCGCGAUUUUAUUGCUUUAUGAAAUGAAAUCGCAAUUUUUUAUCUGAUAAUAUUGCGAUUAUUUGACGUUGAUAAAAUCGCGAUCAAAUAAUUCUGAUCAAAUCGCAACUUAUCGCAAUCACUACUAAGUACUUGGGAGGGAGGCAUUCUCAAAAUAAAGGCACCUACCAACAAAUUUACUGUACAAGACAUUCGUUUGUCUCUGUUUUCAUUUCCUUGGAUGACACUCCGAUAAUCUAACAAUCGUUCCAACAAUCGUGUCACUGAGCUAAUAAAUGCAGAUCCUGUUUCUUUCCAUGCCGGAUCUUCGCUUUGAACUCUAUCCAAGAGACUGCAAAACAUGAACGAUUUAGCAAUAAAAUUUGAACAUACAUAAAUAAUUUACAAGUAAAGUACCCAGAAGUCAGAUCAUUACUCCUUUUUAUACUUGAUACGCAUUGGUAGAGGAAAAAAUAUUUUAAAUUAAUUGCGUUUAUUCCAACAGAGAAAUAUACUUUGAGCAGGCUCUUGCAUUCUGCCGUGCUAAGGAAAAACGCCGAAUGAACCUUCAGGCAUUGCCGAAUUUCCAUCGUGAAAAUGCAAAUUGAUUGGGAAAGUUGGAUUAUUAUUCUUCCAAUUUUUCGGAAAAUUUGCUCGCAAUUUUAUCUUAAAUUUCUGAACAUUUCAAAGGAAAAUAUGUAUAACUUUCCUUCAAUUACAUAAUUUUUUCCAGAGAAAUUUGGCAACUCUCGAAUGUUUAUACAUACGGCGUUCUUCCUUAGUGCAGCAGAAUUACCAUUAGCAUGAAUGUUUUACCUUCAAUUUGCCUUUUGUCACGGCACUAAAACACUAUCACAAGUAACAUACGAUGCAAUGAAUUGCUAGGUUGUAAAUUAUUGAUUCUGUAUCGGAUAGCUGUACAUGUUGCCGAUCUACGAAUUGAAGGGGCUCUCCUUAUAGAAAUUUAUUGAGAUAAAAUAGAGAUAAGUUGCAAUUUUCCUUUGCAUAAUGAAUUGCCCACCUUCCUCACGCAUGGAACUCAUUUCACCGAUAAUUUAAAAUUGGAAAUUCUAUGAUAGCAAGGUAGUAAUUUCAUUGCAUUAAAUUAAAAUUUAUUUCAAUAUAUAUAUUUUUUUUGUGAAAUGCUACUUUGAAACUGAGCACUGCAUCAUCAUAAUUGGAGAUAUUUCAAUCAAAAGGAACUAUAUCCAUUGGACUUGGGUCCUAAGACUCAUAGGAGUACAUGCUUGAUAGGGCCCAUGUUACAGUGGAAAAGCUUAUUGAUGUAAGGUCAUCCCAACAAGAGGCAGCUCGACUUGACUUUUCAGUGCAUACACAGUGAUUACGAAAUUUUGAUUUUUUUAAAAAUUCUGACACUUUUUCAGCUUUUUUCAAUACGUGACUCAAUGGUCAUUUAGAAAAAUAACUAGAAAACAUGAGAAAAGUAUGGCAAGGACACAACUGAAGAUUAUUGAAAUUAAGGGACGUUUUCCCGACUUAUGCAAAGAUUUUUUACUACAAAUCAUUGAAAAAAGACGGAACUCAACGAAAAAUACCUGGCUUUGCAAGCUUGACAUUACUGGUCAAUAAAAGAAACGGCGAAAGCAAGAGGGCAAAAUCCACAGAUUCCUUAACUAAGGUCAAUCAUACUAACUCAUCAUUAUGUAAAAAUAGAAUUAGCAAGACAGUCAAAAUUAGGAAGAGCCAAAAAAAAAAAAACACACAUACCUACGCAUUAUGACAAGAUUUGAACUUCACUUGGAAAACACACAUAUUCAGAAAGUGGGCUGACUUAAGCUUGCCAUGUAAAAUAGGGUUCACAAUAUUGUACAUUUUCCUCGGGAGAUAAUUGAGAUAUCAACAUAAACUCCCUUUUUUGAGCGUUCCUAAAUGCUUUUAAAAUUUAACUUUUAAAAAUGUGUGGAAAACUUUCAAUUUUUUUACUACAAAAAUUUCUAAAAAAAAUUGUUCUUCAAAAUCUAUAAAAAAAAACUCUUCGGGUGUUGGUGCAAAAAACCACUACAAAUAAAUGAAGACCAAUAUCAUUAAGUCUCAGGAAAGUCGAAAAGGGAAAGGAUAGAGCUAUGUUCGUGUUCAUGAAAUUGGCUUCCUGAAUUGCAAACUGUGGCUGGUACAGUUGAUAGAAUUAGUCUUAUUGAGUCUCAUUAGGAAAGUACACUUAAUUAAAUAAUGCCAAAAACCCAAAAUAUAAAAUUUUCGAAAAAAUCGAACGUCCACUCCCCUAAAGUAAUAGAAAAAGUGCAAAAAAAACUAAAAAAAAAAAAAUAGAACGAAAAAUGGUGAAAGUAAAGGAAAAAAGAUUUUUGGUUGGAUUUUUCUUGUUGUGGAUAAUUUGCAGAGUCUGACAUACCUAAAUUAUAUCCAUCUGUGUAUCAAUCUAUCAUAUUGUAUCAGAAGCUAUUGGAUGAAAAGAGAAGUGUAAAUAGAAGCGACUUUUUCCAGAUAAUGAAAAAUAUUGAAACUUCUAGAUCAUUCAUAUAUCUUCUGUUCUUUUGCGGUACUUUACACCUUCUUUGAGAAUUUCGCCUUUUUCCAUUCCUUCUUUCCACAAAGACACCUUGCAUUCAGCAAUUCAAAAACCAGAUCUCAACGCUACCUUGCGAUAUAUAACCCGAAAGAUAUUUGAUGCAAUACUACAGUUCAAAACUUGAAUGAAAAUAGACAUGCAAAAACGAAUUAAGGAGAAAGACUUACACAGCACUCAAAUGCUCCCUGAAGGAUUGAAAAAGAAAAAAAAAAGCAUGAUAUUAAUGAAAGCAAUUAGUUUUUUAGAACAGGGAAGUUGGAGGAAAAUUUUAGCACAGGUUAGUAAGAGGUGAAAACAGUCGCGAGAGGGGUCAAGUUUUAUUGAUUAGAAAGAACAGGGGUGUGGAUUUCUAAUGGUUUGUGCUUUUUUCAUUGAAUAUCGACGGUGAAACUACCAGACCACAUAUCUCGUUUGCAGUGUCUAAAAAUCUCCGCUCUCAUUUUUUUUUUUUUUGAAGGAACCAAUCAUUAUAUUCUCUGAAGUUUCACAGAUUUUCUUCGCACAGUGAAGAAAAAUCACGGAAGUUCUCAAAAAUUGACGUUGAGUAGUUUUCCAUUUAAAAAUAAAGUAUAACAGGAAGUCUGCAACGUCGCAAACCGAGAUACGUGUUUGGUAGUUUCACCGUCGAUAUGUUUGCAACUUCAGAGAUAUGAAAAUGUGAUUUAUGACAGAAAUUGAUCGAAUGCUGCAUUCUUUCGCAUUGUAGGGAUGAGAGAUAAUUUCUUCAGCAUAGACCAAACAAGUGUUGGGACGUGGAUUCGGGAUUCGGAGUCAAAGUGCUCGAACCCAAAUCCGCAUAUCCUUCGAUUUUUCUAAAUUCGCACCAUGAAUCCGAAUCCCGAAGAUUCCCGAAAGUUCUCGAAUAGCGCCGAAUAUUGAUAUUGUCUCUCGAUCUCAAAUAUCCACUCAUUCCAGACAAUAAAUAUAGGUAUAAAUACUCGCCGCGUCGAGAUAUCGCAACCAGUAUUUGUUUACCUGCAUAAUAAAUAAAAAAAGUACUGAGUUUUUGAAAAGUGAAGGAUUCGCGAUGGAUCCGGAUUUUGAUUCGAGGAUUCGAAAGUUAGAAUUUGGGAUGCGGAUUCGGAUAAAUUCAGGACUCAACUCAACACUAGUCUCAACAAAUCUAAAAUUCUGUAAAACAAGAGAUUAUACUUUAAAACUUCCGAUGACCGUGGCUGUUCUAAGAGAAGUAAAGCAUCUUUUCUUUCUCAGAUUCCAUCGAAGUAGAAAAAUAUACUACAGAAUAAAGUUUAGGAUAUGCAUCUUAUCCUUAUGACAUGAUGAAUUCGCGAAAUUUACUGGAAAUAUUAGAUUAAACGAGGGGAAAAUUUUUUAAGAUACAAUAUCACACUCACAUAGUAUUGAAAAGCUGCCUGUACUCAUCAUCACCUUUAUUUUCACUGAUUAAAAUAUCAAGUUUGUCAAUGAGCUCUGACUCCACCUGAAACAGGACAAAAAGUGUGAAAAUACACCUUUUUAAACAGGAUAAAUCAUUUCUUUUCUCGUCGUUUCUUCCGAUUUGCAACGUAAAUAGUUGUCGGAUCAAAUUG